CUUGUUGUUGACGCGACUGCUGUUAGGAAGACCUUCCCAGUUGUAGUUCUUCCAAACUAGGUCUGUCGCAACGGCGAGCC
rnacentral:pre_miRNA from 1 species